rnacentral:rRNA from 1 species
CAUAUCAAUAAGCGGAGGAAAAGAAACCAAACAGGGGAUUGCCUCAGUAACGGCGAGUGAAGCGGGCAAAAAGCUCAAAUUUGAAACCCUCGGGAUUGUAAUUUGAAGAUUUGGCAUUGGAGAAAGCUAACCCAAGUUGCUUGGAAUAGUACGUCAUAGAGGGUGACAACCCCGUCUGGCUAACCGUUCUCCAUGUAUUGCCUUAUCAAAGAGUCGAGUUGUUUGGGAAUGCAGCUCAAAGAGGGUGGUAAACUCCAUCUAAAGCUAAAUACUGGUGAGAGACCGAUAGCGAACAAGUACUGUGAAGGAAAGGUGAAAAGAACUUUGAAAAGAGAGUGAAAUAGUAUGUGAAAUUGUUGAUAGGGAAGGAAAUGAGCGGAGAGUGGCCGAGGUUUCAGCUUUCCCUCGGGAUUGUGUACUGCCGACGCCGAGUCAUGGACAGCGAGACGGGGGUUACAAACGGGUUACACUUUGUGUUUCUCACCUGACCCCCCCACUGCCGCCCACGACAUAAUCCGCCCAUUUCACCCGUCUUGAAACACGGACCAAGGAGUCUAAUGGAUAUGUGAGUGUUAGGGUGACAAACCCCAGCGCGCAAUGAAAGUGAAUGAUUCGUUCAGAAUCGACCGAACUUGAUUUUUAUGACAGUUUUGAGUAAACACAUCCAUUGGGACCCGAAAGAUGGUGAACUAUGCCUGGAUAGGGUGAAGUCAGAGGAAACUCUGAUGGAGGCUCGUAGCGGUUCUGACGUGCAAAUCGAUCGUAGAAUCUGGGUAUAGGGGCGAAAGACUAAUCGAACCAUCUAGUAGCUGGUUCCUGC